CCUACGGGAGGCUGCAGUGGGGAAUAUUGCACAAUGGGCGCAAGCCUGAUGCAGCCAUGCCGCGUGUGUGAAGAAGGCCUUCGGGUUGUAAAGCACUUUCAGCGGGGAGGAAGGCGGUGAGGUUAAUAACCUCAUCGAUUGACGUUACCCGCAGAAGAAGCACCGGCUAACUCCGUGCCAGCAGCCGCGGUAAUACGGAGGGUGCCAGCGUUAAUCGGAAUUACUGGGCGUAAAGCGCACGCAGGCGGUCUGUCAAGUCGGAUGUGAAAUCCCCGGGCUCAACCUGGGAACUGCAUUCGAAACUGGCAGGCUAGAGUCUUGUAGAGGGGGGUAGAAUUCCAGGUGUAGCGGUGAAAUGCGUAGAGAUCUGGAGGAAUACCGGUGGCGAAGGCGGCCCCCUGGACAAAGACUGACGCUCAGGUGCGAAAGCGUGGGGAGCAAACAGGAUUAGAUACCCUGGUAGUC
rnacentral:rRNA from 1 species